GAUGAACGCUGGCGGCGUGCCUAAUACAUGCAAGUCGAGCGAACAGAUGAGGAGCUUGCUCCUCUGACGUUAGCGGCGGACGGGUGAGUAACACGUGGAUAACCUACCUAUAAGACUGGGAUAACUUCGGGAAACCGGAGCUAAUACCGGAUAAUAUAUUGAACCGCAUGGUUCAAUAGUGAAAGACGGUUUUGCUGUCACUUAUAGAUGGAUCCGCGCCGCAUUAGCUAGUUGGUAAGGUAACGGCUUACCAAGGCAACGAUGCGUAGCCGACCUGAGAGGGUGAUUGGCCACACUGGAACUUGGACACGGUCCCGACUCCUACGGGAGGCAGCAGUAGGGAAUCUUCCGCAAUGGGCGAAAGCCUGACGGAGCAACGCCGCGUGAGUGAUGAAGGUCUUCGGAUCGUAAAACUCUGUUAUUAGGGAAGAACAAAUGUGUAAGUAACUAUGCACGUCUUGACGGUACCUAAUCAGAAAGCCACGGCUAACUACGUG
rnacentral:rRNA from 1 species